rnacentral:rRNA from 1 species
AGGAUGAACGCUGGCGGCGUGCUUAACACAUGCAAGUCGAACGAUGAAGGCUGGAGCUUGCUCUGGCUGGAUUAGUGGCGAACGGGUGAGUAACACGUGAGUAACCUGCCCCAGACUCUGGGAUAAGCACUGGAAACGGCGUCUAAUACCGGAUACGAGCUUCCACCGCAUGGUGAGGAGCUGGAAAGAAUUUUCGGUCUGGGAUGGACUCGCGGCCUAUCAGCUUGUUGGUGAGGUAAUGGCUCACCAAGGCGACGACGGGUAGCCGGCCUGAGAGGGUGACCGGCACGACUGGGACUGACGACACGGCCAGACCUCCGUACGGGAGCCAGCGAGGUGGGAAUAUUGCAGAAUGGACGCAAGCCUGAUGACAGACAACCGCCGCGGUGAAGGGACGAACGGUCCGUU